AACGAACGCUGGCGGCAUGCCUAACACAUGCCAGUCGAACGAGACCUUCGGGUCUAGUGGCGCACGGGUGCGUAACGCGCGGGAACCUGCCCUUAGGUUCGGAAUAACUCCCCGAAAGGGGUGCUAAUACCGGAUAAUGUCUUCGGACCAAAGAUUUAUCGCCUUUGGAUGGGCCCGCGUUGGAUUAGCUAGUUGGUAGGGUAAAAGCCUACCAAGGCGACGAUCCAUAGCUGGUCUGAGAGGAUGAUCAGCCACACUGGGACUGAGACACGGCCCAGACUCCUACGGGAGGCAGCAGUGGGGAAUAUUGGACAAUGGGCGAAAGCCUGAUCCAGCAAUGCCGCGUGAGUGAUGAAGGCCUUAGGGUUGUAAAGCUCUUUUACCCGGGAUGAUAAUGACAGUACCGGGAGAAUAAGCUCCGGCUAACUCCGUG
rnacentral:rRNA from 1 species